rnacentral:rRNA from 1 species
UACAGGGGGUGCAAACGUUGCUCGGAAUUAUUGGGCGUAAAGCGCGCGUAGGCGGCCACUUAAGUCGGAUGUGAAAGCCCCUGGCUCAACUGGGGAAGUGCACCCGAAACUGAAUGGCUUGAGUGCGAAAGAGGGUCGCGGAAUUCCCGGUGUAGAGGUGAAAUUCGUAGAUAUCGGGAGGAACACCGGCGGCGAAGGCGGCUGCCUGGACCAGUCCUGACGCUGAGGCGCGAAAGCUAGGGGAGCAAACAGG